rnacentral:rRNA from 1 species
GUUGCCAGCAUUCAGUUGGGCACUCUAAGGUGACUGCCGGCUAAAAGUCGGAGGAAGGUGGGGAUGACGUCAAAUCAUCAUGCCCUUAUGACCUGGGCUACACACGUGCUACAAUGGGCGGUACAAAGGGUCGCGAACCCGCAGGGGGAGCCAAUCCCAAAAAGCCGCUCUCAGUUCGGAUUGCAGGCUGCAACUCGCCUGCAUGAAGCCGGAAUCGCUAGUAAUCGCGGAUCAGCAUGCCGCGGUGAAUACGUUCCCGGGCCUU